rnacentral:rRNA from 1 species
GUGGGGAAUAUUGGACAAUGGGCGAAAGCCUGAUCCAGCCAUGCCGCGUGUGUGAAGAAGGUCUUCGGAUUGUAAAGCACUUUAAGUUGGGAGGAAGGGCAUUAACCUAAUACGUUAGUGUUUUGACGUUACCAACAGAAUAAGCACCGGCUAACUUCGUGCCAGCAGCCGCGGUAAUACGAAGGGUGCAAGCGUUAAUCGGAAUUACUGGGCGUAAAGCGCGCGUAGGUGGUUCGUUAAGUUGGAUGUGAAAGCCCCGGGCUCAACCUGGGAACUGCAUCCAAAACUGGCGAGCUAGAGUACGGUAGAGGGUAGUGGAAUUUCCUGUGUAGCGGUGAAAUGCGUAGAUAUAGGAAGGAACACCAGUGGCGAAGGCGACCACCUGGACUGAUACUGACACUGAGGUGCGAAAGCGUGGGGAGCAAACAGGAUUAGAAACCCCAGUAGUCC